UGUUUAUGGUAUCAGUGGUAAGACAGGAGCCUAAAAUUCCCAUAAGGUCCUACUGCUGUAGUGAGUCAUUUAUCUGAGAAAGAUUGACUCAAAAACAGGGAUGCUCACCUUCAAGGUCACUGAAAAACACUUUGUAUUAAACACAUUUUCAGGACUUCCACAUGUCAUUGGAGGUGACACCAAUGACAGGUGACAGAGCAGGUGACACCUGCUCUCAGAUGUUUACGUGGCUCUCACGCUGCUCACUGAAAAUACACAAGCUGAUCAGUGGGAAAAAUUGUCCAAAGGCUUUAGCUAUAUUCUCUGCUUAAUAUCACCACAUGAAACUAUGCUUUUCUUUCAUUUCUUAUAUCCCAAAGUAAAUAUGGUUAAGAUAAAGAAGAGGGCAUGAGGGUAUAAAAACUUUUUUCUUUUUCCUGUUGAAUCUGUAUACCUGACCAGUUUUUAGCCAGUUGCUUCCUAAUUUUCUUUUGCUUUGAGUUGCCUUGCCUUGCUUUUCUCUUCAAAAAUCCUAGAUCCCCUAUUAUGUUUCCAAUACUAUGCAAAAAAUCGAAAGAGCCCAUCUUUGCCCUUGAAGAGCUCCAUCUAAUAGGUACUUAGAAAACAAAUGAGGAUGUGGUCCAAUCUGCAAACAGAGGCAUGAGCAGUGAUAUAUGAGAAUUUACAUGAGUGCAGUGGGAAUUUCUUACUAUGCCAAGGUAAAAAUUUUUAUUUGAAAAAUAUUGUUUACAAAUACAGUGGAGCCAUCAAUAUAAUUCAUAGUUUAUACAUAAUGAAAAUCACAGAGAAACACAAAAUCACCUAACAGAUCAACUGAAGAGCUGGUACUAAGAUUUGAUGAGUAAUCCAUCAACAUAGCUCCCAGUCAGCUAGCUCAUGUUCUCCGGUGAGUUCUGAGGUGUGUGAUGGGGAGUGCGGUUCAGCACCCCGGACAGGGCCACCUCUGCCCAUGCCUUAGACCGCAGCAUCUGCUCCUGUGUUCCUCCUACACUGGGUGCCACAGGAUGACUGGUGAGCAGGACGUGAUGUUAUUAACAGAAUUGUGGUAACCGUUGUUAUAACCCUAUGCUUGAUGCAGGUGCUUUCAGAAUACUGCCGAGGGCGUGAACACCUCAUCGACUUGCUGUUCUGAAGCUCACUCCUUUGCUUACAGAGUCCCUGAAGCUGGAGGUCAUAGACAUGCCAGUAGCCCAUCUGGGAGAGCACGGUCCUUGGGAGCGCACUUCCCCACCUCCUCGCCAGGACCUCCAUUGCCAUGUGUAUUGCCGACAUUCCACCUGCUCUGGGAAGCUGUAUUGAUGAGCUGAGAAAGGCAGCCUGAGCCUGAGGACAGCUUUGUGAUUCCCUGAGGAAAACCAGCGGCUGCCAGUGUUUCCAGAACUUGAGAACAAUAUAUAUUGGGAAGCAGAUAAGGGCCAGGAGGCUAGUGGAGGUCAAGGGACAUCUGGGGUGCAAUGGAUAUGUGAUCCUAACCUAAUUCUUCUGACAAUGAUCCAGUGGUCUUCUCUUUCACCAGAAACAAAUGGGUGAACUAUUAGAACUUACAAAACAGCCUGGCAAUGCUGCGAGUCAUUGCAGCCAAAGUCUGAGGUAUCAGGUGGUCACUGGUUCUGAGUUCCAGCCACGCUUCCAGGUAACAAACUCUGGACAGGGCUUGCGUUCCCAGUCCCCACUCCCCUUUCCUCUGUGAUGGGCUGGCUUCCUUGUCAAUCAGUCCCUUCUUGCUCUGCGAUGCCUGGCAUUAUGUUGUCAGUGAAUUUAGGAUUUUAAAAAGAUACAAUCAGUUUUAGUUCUCCGCGAACAAAAAGUCACAGCUAAGAAGAUAGGGCACUCGGUGACCUGCUUAGAAUGAGGAAAAGGGGAAAAUACAGUGAAUAAAGCACAUGGACGUAUUUCACAAAGUCAGCUGGCACAACAGAAGCAGUUAGAAUUGUCAUUCAGCUUAUAAUUGUAUUUCCUUUUCGAUUGGAAUCUAUUGCUACAUGCAUUAAUGUGCUUUUUUGUUUGAAAUGUUUAAAUCCUGUCAACAUAGGACUCGUGACUCUGUAGAGAUGGUUGUGGAUGUUAUUCAAUGUCUGUGAGUUUGAAUUUAGAAAGAAACAUUCUAAUGUGCAUAAAUUAAUAUAAUUCUGUGAAAAUAUGACAAAAUGUGACUGUAGUAAUUUAAUAAGAUAAAUAAAACUGGGGGAGUAAAUAUUUGUUUCAGAAUGGUACGAAAAGUCUGUCUUCAUGCGAGUUAUCACUUACCUAUGAAAUGGGGCCUGACCCUUCUCUGACACUAGGAAUUACAUGUUUUCUGGUUUUAAUAUGGAGAGAAUCUAACGUAAACUUGGCAGAAAGUAUUUUCUUAAUAAAACUUUUGUAAUGAGUCAUCAGCUCCAUCAGUGUGCAAGUCUCCCUACUUUGAAACACUUCCGUGAUCACAUAUUUUGAGUGCCCAUUAGGGAAUAGUCAAGGAAUAGUUAUUUGUUAAAUGAGUACAUGAAUUAACGUUUGUGUAAAUGCAUUGAUUUAUAGCUUCCUGUCUGUCACUGCAAAUGAUCUUUUCAGUAUUGCAACAGGCUUACGGUGAUACUGCCCACUUCUGUAUAUGGAAAGAAGACGUCUUGGAGACAGAAGGUGAUUCACCUCAAAGUGAUUGUUUGGCCACGUUGGGAAUGCAGUCCACGUUUUAUGCCUCCAUGUUCUUACCGUACGGUGUGCUUUGCCAGUGGGCGUUGAUGGUCACCCCUCACGGAUUAUAACUUCGAUACCAUCUCUUCAUCAUGAGUUCUGACUCUGCUACUGGCAUAGCAGUCAUGGUUCAGAGCAGAGGAGACUGGUUCUCUCACGAGCUUGUAAGUAUACAGUGGAAGAAAAAAGGACUGAAAGUCUAUGGACUUGGGAAUAAAAGAAGACUUAAGGUUGGCUCUCAAUGCCAACAUUUACUGCUUACUUAGGCAGACUACUCAACUCUAUGUCAGAGCGAUAACAUCACACUAUUUCAAGAUUGUUCUGAGAUUAAAUGUCACAAUUGCAAGAAGACAGUUUAUAUGUAAGCAUGCGAUAAGGGCAGUUUUACUGGAACACCUUAGUCUUACUUUGUUAAUUGACUACCACUGCUCACCCCUUUGGGGGUUUUCUGUAUCAUUUAACAUAGGCCUAGAAGUACAGUUUCCAAAAUUCCCUUCUCCAUGUGGUUCUGAGUUAGUCUGAUCAUGAGAGGCACCUAAAUGAUAUUUGGAUGGUGAAAAAUUGGCAAUAUUUGGUGAAAAGCGUUAACAGCAACCACAUCUUGGUGGGGAAUUGGGGGUGAUCUGAGUGGUGGGGCUAUGAUAGGAAUACCCUGCACCCAAUAUUCAGGCUGUGCCAUCCUUUCUCAUGGAAGGAUAACACUUUGAAAUUGAGCGAGACUGUGUGAUUGUUUCUGACCAAUGAACUGGAAGCAAGAGUGAUUUGUGUCACUUCAAGACCCAGCACCUAAUUGCUUCUGAGAGCUCCCUUUCCCCUGUGUCACGGCUGGCAUUGCUCAAGGUAGCAGCUGCUCUGAGGCUUGGUGAGCUGAUGGACUACACCGGCUCUGCCUUCUCAGUGGGCAUGGGCCACGAUCAGGAAUCAAAUCUGAGCUGUGAGUGGUGGACAGACUAAUGUCUUCCCAAAGGUGACUAGGUCCUAAUUCCUGGAACCUGUGAAUAUGUAACCUUUUGUGGCCAAAGAGAGCUUGCAGAUAUGAUCAAGUGAAGGACCUUGAGACGGGGCUCUUAUCUUGGAUUAUCUGGGUGGGCCCAAUGUAAUCACAAGGGUCCUUAAAGAUGUCAGUGGAAGGAGAGGUUGGGCUGAUGUGAUUGCUGGCUAUGGAGAUGAAGCGAGGGGCCGAGGAAUUUAAAUGGCCUCUAGAAACUGGUUAUGGCAAGGAAAUGGAUUUUCCCUAGAGGCUCCAGAAGGAUUUUAGUCCCUGAAACCCAUUUCAGGCUUCUGACCUCCUGAACUGUAGGAUAAUAAAUUGUGUUGUUUCAAGCCAUUAAGUCUGAGUCAUUUGUUACAGCAUUGAUGGGAAACUGACUGACGUAAUACUCCUUUGCCUUU